rnacentral:lncRNA from 1 species
AGUCCUUCGCCGUCCCUCGCCGUCCUUCGCCAUCGCACGCCACCGCACCCCAUCUCUCGAAAUCUGCAGACAUCUUGAUUUUUCCCACGCUGUCUGUCAGGUCUCCGCCGCCACUCGACGCCAGGGCGCCGGGCCUUGUGGGCUGUGCUGCACCUCGGACGGCUUCGCACCAGCCAGCGCCCUCUCUCUCCUGCAGCACUCUGAUCUGCACCCCCUGAGGGGCUUCCACUGUCCGCGGGGAGUGUCACAUGACUGCCGCCCCAUGUGUGUGAGAGGCGUCCUCUGGGAGAGCAUGGAUCCUGAGGUCCCAGGAUUGUCAGCUGACCUCUGUCCUGUGUGCCCAGUGGCCCCAGGUGACGUGUCUUCAAGAAGAGGCUGAGCUGCGGUGCUUGUAAGGUCUCAGCCUUAGAUCCAAGGACAGUCCAAGGAAGUCCUAAGACCAUGGAGUUGGUGAUCUGGGAUCUGGGUUUGCUGAUAUUUCUCACCGUGAAUCUCUUGGUGGUGUUUGUGGGCACGAGAGGGGCAGAGAAUGGAGAGUGAGGCUACCACAUGAAGCGUCACCAGAGCUGCUCCCUGCUGCCUGCUCAGAGCACCCCGGAUCCACUGUUCAAUCUGCACAAGAUUCGGGGUCCAGACAUGGGAGACUUCAGCUGCCUCAGAGGACCGUGGACAGGGAAGGCCAGCCUCGCAUCCCUCUGUCCAUGCCUGGAAUGACUUUAAUAACCAAGAGUUUUAUUUUUGAAUUUGUAGCUGUCGUUCACUUUUUACCCACCCAUUCAAUAAACCUUACAGAAUUGCUCCA